AUUGAACGCUGGCGGCAGGCCUAACACAUGCAAGUCGAACGGUAACAGGAAACAGCUUGCUGUUUCGCUGACGAGUGGCGGACGGGUGAGUAAUGUCUGUGAAACUGCCUGAUGGAGGGGGAUAACUACUGGAAACGGUAGCGACUACCGCAUAACGUCGCAAGACCAAAGAGGGGGACCUUCGGGCCUCUUGCCCUCGGAUGUGCCCAGAUGGGAUUAGCUAGUUGGUGGGGUAAAGGCGCACCUAGGCGACGAUCCGUAGCUGGUCUGAGAGGAUGACCAGCCACACUGGAACUGAGACACGGUCCAGACUCCUACGGGAGGCAGCAGUGGGGAAUAUUGCACAAUGGGCGCAAGCCUGAUGCAGCCAUGCCGCGUGUAUGAAGAAGGCCUUCGGGUUGUAAAGUACUUUCAGCGGGGAGGAAGGGCGUAAAGUUAAUACCUUUGCUCAUUGACGUUACCCGCAGAAGAAGCACCGGCUAACUCCGUG
rnacentral:rRNA from 1 species